AACGAACGCUGGCGGCGUGCCUACACAUGCAAGUCGAACGGAUUUGAGGGGCUUGCUCCUCAAGUUAGUGGCACACGGGUGAGUAACGCGUGGAUAAUCUACCCAAUGCUCAGGGAUAACAUCUCGAAAGGGGUGCUAAUACCUGAUAAGCCCACGGGCUCUUCGGAGCUUGCGGGAAAAGGGGGGGACGUUCGGGCCCCCCGACAUUGGAUGAUUCCGCGUCCCAUUAGCUAGUUGGUGGGGUAAAGGCCUACCAAGGCGACGAUGGGUAGCUGGUCUGAGAGGAUGAUCAGCCACACUGGUACUGAGACACGGUCCAGACUCCUACGGGAGGCAGCAGUGGGGAAUUUUGCGCAAUGGGGGAAACCCUGACGCAGCAACGCCGCGUGAGUGAUGAAGGCCUUUGGGUCGUAAAGCUCUGUCAGAGGGAAAGAAAUGUGGGUGGUUAAUAGCCGUUCCACUUGACGGUACCCUCAAAGGAAGCACCGGCUAACUCCGUGCCAGCCGCCGCGGUAAGAC
rnacentral:rRNA from 1 species